rnacentral:rRNA from 1 species
ACUGCCGGUGACAAGCCGGAGGAAGGUGGGGAUGACGUCAAGUCCUCAUGGCCCUUAUAGGUGGGGCUACACACGUCAUACAAUGGCUGGUACAAAGGGUUGCCAACCCGCGAGGGGGAGCUAAUCCCAUAAAGCCAGUCGUAGUCCGGAUCGUAGUCUGCAACUCGACUACGUGAAGUCGGAAUCGCUAGUAAUCGUGGAUCAGAAUGUCACGGUGAAUACGUUCCCGGGUCUU